AUUGAACGCUGGCGGCAGGCCUAACACAUGCAAGUCGAACGGUAACAGGAAACAGCUUGCUGUUUCGCUGACGAGUGGCGGACGGGUGAGUAAUGUCUGGGAAACUGCCUGAUGGAGGGGGAUAACUACUGGAAACGGUAGCUAAUACCGCAUAACGUCGCAAGACCAAAGAGGGGGACCCUCGGGCCUCUUGCCUUCGGAUGUGCCCACGGGGGUUCAGCUUGUUGGUGGGGUAACGUCUUACCAAGGCGGCGAUCCCUACCUGGACGGAGAGGGUGGACGGCCCCAUUGGGACUGAGAUACGGCCCAGAUGCCGACGGGAGGAAGCAGUGGGGAAGAUUGCACAAUGGGCGCAGGGCUGAUGCAGAGACGCCGCGUGGGGGAUGACGGCCUUCGGGUUGGAAACUCCUUUCGCUAGGGACGAAGCUUUUUGUGACGGUACCUAGAGAAGAAGCACCGGCUAACUACGUG
rnacentral:rRNA from 1 species